UUGUGCAGUAAAUGUAUGGCAAUUUUGGGUACAACCGGAGAAGUGCUAUCUGACUGCAUUUUGCUGUUGUGAAUCAUAGUCGUUCACGGUCAAAACAAGUUAAUCCAUAAUAAAUGUGAUGCUGGGACAUGAUCGCUAGAUGGCGUCGCACCACCACAAGAACCUGGAUUGGAGGCUUUAUCAACACGUUGAAGUGACAGCUCACCUAUGAGCUCACCUGACUGUGGUGGGUGUGGUCUACUUUAAAAAAACACCCAGGCUCCGCCUCCAGCAGCGACGCAGCCAAUCAUAUGUCAACACUCCAAAUAUGGACAGGUCCUAACCCUUUAAGGCACAGGUGAAACAUAAAUAGCC